AGCUAUCCAUCUGGGAGAUUAAUUUCUUAGGGGCAGUAAAUACUAAUACUUUAAUACUACUCUAAAUGCGUGGGUAUCGCGUCCUCUUAACGGUAAUAUAUUAAUGAAUCGAGCAAAAAUAGUAUACAUCGCGUCUCUAAAUAAUAAACCGACUUUAGAGUGUUACAGAUUAUAAUAGUAAGGACCUAGUCUUUUUGAAAUGCCACAAAUCGCAUCAUGAACCAUAUAAUAUAUCGUGUCGUCCGUCAUGAUUUCUCGCGAAGCGUCGUUAUAUUAUUUGCGAAAACGAUAACGUUCCUAUAGUGUACGUACGUAUAUAGUGCAUCGCAAACAAAUCGUUUUAACACUACACGAAUGUCACUCCCGGAUUAGAUUUAUCGAGCUU